GAGGAAUAUUGGUCAAUGGACGAGAGUCUGAACCAGCCAAGUAGCGUGCAGGAUGACGGCCCUAUGGGUUGUAAACUGCUUUUGUAUGGGGAUAAAGUCAAUCACGUGUGAUUGUUUGCAGGUACCAUACGAAUAAGGACCGGCUAAUUCCGUGCCAGCAGCCGCGGUAAUACGGAAGGUCCGGGCGUUAUCCGGAUUUAUUGGGUUUAAAGGGAGCGUAGGCCGGAGAUUAAGUGUGUUGUGAAAUGUAGACGCUCAACGUCUGACUUGCAGCGCAUACUGGUUUCCUUGAGUACGCACAACGUUGGCGGAAUUCGUCGUGUAGCGGUGAAAUGCUUAGAUAUGACGAAGAACUCCGAUUGCGAAGGCAGCUGACGGGAGCGCAACUGACGCUUAAGCUCGAAGGUGCGGGUAUCGAACAGGAUUAGAUACCCUGGUAGUCCGCACAGUAAACGAUGGAUGCUCGCUGUUGGUACUUGGUAUCAGCGGCUAAGCGAAAGCAUUAAGCAUCCCACCUGGGGAGUACGCCGGCAACGGUG
rnacentral:rRNA from 1 species